AUGAGGAAGGGCGUAGCAAGCGACGAAAUGCUUCGGGGAGUUGAAAAUAAGCAUAGAUCCGGAGAUUCCCAAAUAGGUCAACCUUUUAAACUCACUGUAGUAUAAGACUAGGGUAAAUGCUUCCUGUAU
rnacentral:ncRNA from 1 species